AUUGAACGCUGGCGGCAUGCCUUACACAUGCAAGUCGAACGGCAGCACGGACUUCGGUCUGGUGGCGAGUGGCGAACGGGUGAGUAAUGCAUCGGAACGUACCCGGUAGUGGGGGAUAACUACCCGAAAGGGAGGCUAAUACCGCAUAUACUGUGCGCAGGAAAGCAGGGGACCUUCGGGCCUUGUGCUACCGGAGCGGCCGAUGUCAGAUUAGGUAGUUGGUGGGGUAACGGCCUACCAAGCCUGCGAUCUGUAGCGGGUCUGAGAGGAUGAUCCGCCACACUGGGACUGAGACACGGCCCAGACUCCUACGGGAGGCAGCAGUGGGGAAUUUUGGACAAUGGGCGCAAGCCUGAUCCAGCCAUGCCGCGUGAGUGAAGAAGGCCUUCGGGUUGUAAAGCUCUUUCGGACGGAAAGAAAUCGCGCAGGCUAAUACCCUGCGCGGAUGACGGUACCGUCAUAAGAAGCACCGGCUAACUACGUGCCAGCAGCCGCGGUAAAAC
rnacentral:rRNA from 1 species